AUGAGCGUUAGAGGUCCUGACGGUCACCAUGUAAGGCGGCAGCCUCUGAGCAGAGCGGGAAAGCGACGGAGAGCAUGGGCUUGGCGUCAGCACAGUCACAGCCCGCGGAGCCCUCUUAGUGAGCUCGGAGGAAGAGCGACGGUGCUCCCCUGGUGUCCUUCAGAGAAGAGUUUCUGCAUUGAUACGCAUGGGUCUGGCCCAGUCUUCUCACAGGUGGACAACAUUCCCAGGUACGGAUGCAGGCUUCACUUCACUGACCGCUGGGUUUUCCGUGGUUCUCGAGGCCAGUUGGCCUGACUCAGCUUUGCCCACGUGCCAGCAUGAGAGAUGCUAAGAAGGCGUUCGUGGGUUAAGGUCUUUCCGGCGCUCGUGGGCAUUUCUUGACUGCCAGCAGCAAGACAGGAGCAGGGUAAGUUCCCACCCUCAGUGCAGGGAAAGUAAGUCCCCAUCCUCUUCUCAAUAC
rnacentral:lncRNA from 1 species